AUAUGUACGAAGAGUGACCGACAACCAAAACUAAUCGAAACAAGGCGCGAAAAAUUAUCAGAUUCCCGGGCUUGGUUUCCCUCAUACGAAGCAUAUUUGGUAACUGCUUAUACGCAGAUUCAUUAGGCCCCGAUCUCCUCCCCUUCCUCUCUCGAUCUCCUCCAUUGCACAGAUCCGAAAUUCAUAGCAGCAGCAAUGGGAGAACCCAUCCCUAAUCUCUCCGGCCACCAAGAUCCUCCCCCCUCUGCCCGUAGGAGGCAGCAGCAAGCAUCUCCCCUCCCAGGUGACCACAUCCUCCUCUUGCCCCGCUGCAAUUUUCUCAACCAUCCUUGGUGAGCAGGUCCUCCACCCCUCCGCCCAGAGAAGGCAGCUGCUGGAAUCACCUCUCCCAGGCGACUACAUCCUCCUCCUACUCCUCUCCUCCCCAGCUGCAGUUCGCACACCCUCAAAGGGCACUUUGUUUUGGCAAAGGUGUGUUCCUGCUCUUAUUUUCUUUCUAAUAAGAAGUAAUAAUUAGGGUGACUUGUAAUACGUAGGUUACUGUGAGGCUUAUUGUGCCAUUAUGUGAAGUUCAUAUAGGAAUUUCUUAUAUCAUGAUUAAAGGUGUGCUGCACUCCACAAACUGAUGUGCUCCAGUAAUUAGAUAUAUUAGGUAAAGCAUAGAAGACAAGCAUUAUAGAAAACUAAAAAUUGUAGGCAUUUGUGAAUUAUAGAAUUGUAGAUAAAUCUUUGUUGCAAACUAUCUUGUAAAGCCACAAACCGAAAUCUGUUGUGAAGUUUAAUUAGUGAAUUACAUAUGAAUUUGUGUUGAAAAGCAAUCUAUUGCUACAGGUUAGUUCAUAAGCAAUUUUUAUUACAUUUAUGGCACCAAGUAAGGCAUGGAUGGAUCUAGUUGAUGAUCGGCUUAGUGCUGAAUGUUGGGAUGCUAUGUCAUCAAAAAAGGAUAUUUAUCUGAAUGGGGUAAACAAGUUCUUGGAUUAUGCAUUCAGUAGGACUGGUGAUGGAGGUAAAAUUAGGUGUCCCUGUAUAAAGUGUUGCAAUACAUACAACUUGUCUUGUGAGGUUGUGUAUUCACAUCUGAUGGCUUAUGGAAUCAUAAGAAGCUACACCUUUUGGUAUCAUCAUGGGGAAAUUUUGGGAGAAUAUGAGAAUGAUUUAGAAGUGGAAGAUGACGAUGAAUCUGCUGAUGGAAUGCAGGAGCUGAUGGAGGAUCUAUUCCCUCAGAAUAACCUCCCCGGAAGUGACACAAUGGCAGACCCAUCUUCUAGUGAUUUUUUUGAAGAGAAACCAAAUGGGGAAGCUAUGAAGUUUUAUAAUUUGCUUAGUGACUUGAACAGACCUCUUUAUCAUGGAUCCAAUACCACUAAAUUAUCUGCGCUUGUAAAGUUACUUAAUGUUAAGAAUAUGGGAACGUGGAGUAAUAAGACCUUCACAGAUUUACUAGAUACACUUCUGAAGGACUUUUUACCUAAUAACUCUACUUUGCCAAGCUCUUACUAUGAUGCAAAAAAGACUAUUAAUGAACUAGGGCUUAGUUACAAAAAAAUUGAUGCUUGUAAGAAUGAUUGUAUGUUGUAUUGGAAAGAAGAAGCAAUGGCUGAUUUUUGCAAGAUAUGUGGAAGGUCAAGAUGGAAGCAAGACAAGCAUUCAGGUGAAAACAAGUAGUCAGGAAAAGGGAAAAAUCCCUGAAAAAACUUUACGUUAUUUCCCUCUGAAACCAAGGCUACAACGAUUGUACAUGUCUCGAAGAAUAGCUACUUUCUUGACAUGGCAUAGUGAUGGUAGAGCGGACGAUGGAGUGAUGCGGCAUCCAGCAGAUUCCAAAGCAUGGAAGAAUUUUGAUGAGCUGCACCCUUCUUUUGCAUCUGACCCUCGUAAUAUCAGGCUAUGCCUUGCUGCUGAUGGUUUCCAACCAUUUUCUAACAUCCGAUUAUCUCAUACCAUUUGGCCUAUAUUUCUCAUCCCGCUGAACUUACCUCCUUGGAUGUGUAUGAAGCAACAUAAUGUAAUCCUCUCCAUGUUGAUUCCUGGACGGGAAGAACCUGGGGAUGCGAUUGAUAUUUACCUGCAACCAUUAAUUGAUGAAUUGAUUGAGCUUUGGGAGGAGGGUGUUGACACAUAUGAUUCAUCAAAAAGAUAAAUUUUACUCUCAGAGCAGCCAUUCUUUGGACAGUCCAUGAUUUCCCAGCUUAUGCAAAUCUGUCAGGAUAUAGCACCAAGGGAAAGCUAGCAUGUCCAAUUUGCCACAAAGAAACUUGUUCGUUGUGGUUACCAAACGGUCGAAAAUUUUGUUACAUGGGUCAUAGACGCUUUCUGCCUAAAGGUCACCGAUGGAGAAAUGACAAAGCCUCAUUUGAUGGAACUAGAGAAGUACGUAGCCCAGCGGAACCCUUAACUGGAGAUGAAGUGCUGCAUCAAGUGGACGAUCUGGAGGGGAUUAUUUUGUCCAAGGAUAAGAGCAAGAAGACUAAGAUUUCACACGAUGAGAGGGGGAUAAUUGGACUAAGAAGAGCAUAUUUUUUAAAUUGCCAUAUUGCAAAACACUUCUGCUGAGGCAUAAUUUAGAUGUGAUGCAUAUAGAGAAGAACAUAUGUGAUUGUAUUAUUGAAACUGUUUUGGGCAUAAAAGGCAAAACAAAGGAUAACGAUAAAUCUCAUCUUGAUUUGAAAGAAAUGAAUUUAAAGCCACAUUUGCAUCCUGUUGAAGAUGGUGGAAAAUAUGUUAUGCCACAAGCAGAUUAUGCUUUGUCUCAAAUGGAUAAGAAAUCAGUAUUACAUUUUUUAAGGACUUGAAGGUUCCAGAUGGUUUUUCUUCCAAUAUUAGUAGACUUGUGAAUUUGAAGGAGGGGAAACUUUCAGGAACAAAGACCCAUGAUUGUCAUGUCAAAUCAUAUACUCCCUUAUGCUCUGCGUGGAUUUUUACCAAAUAAUAUUUAUGAGCCUUUACUUGAACUUUCUUAUUUUUUUCGAGAACUGAACUCAAAGGCAUUAUCAAUUGAACUGUUAGAGCAACUGCAGCCUCUUAUAGCCACCACUUUAUGUAAAUUGGAAAAGGAAUUCCCACCCUCAUUUUUCGUUAGCAUGAUGCACUUGCCUAUUCAUUUAGCUUAUGAGGCUCUAAUUGGUGGACCUACAAUGUAUCGUUGGAUGUCCCAGUUUGAGAGAUAUAUAAAAUUUCUGAAAUCUCUAGUUCGAAAUAUGGCUCACCCAGAGGCAUCCAUAGCAGAGGGUUAUAUUGCAUAUGAGUUUAUUAUGUUGUGUUCGAGGUACUUGGAUGAUGUAGAGACAGUACACAAUCGACCUGGACGAAUCAAUGAUGCAUCAAACUAUAAAAAGUUUUGUUUACCAAUAUUUUCUUGCACGGGAAGGCCACUUGGUGCUCACAAGACUCGAGGUCUUGAGUUUCUUGAGUUACAACAGGCUCAUAUAUAUGUUCUCAGGAAUUGCGACGAGGUGCAACCAUUUAUUAGUGAGUACAGCAGCGGUGAGGGCUCUUCAUUGCUGCAAUUUACAUCCUCCUGGAACAAUAAGUUUAUUAAAUGGUUCAGGGAGAAGAUCCAUAAUUUGUAUGAACAUGAUACAAGUGAAAAAAUGGAUGACCUUCUAUCAUUGUCUCGGGGCCCUUUGCAAAACACAACAUGUUUUGCAGGCUAUGACAUCAAUGGAUUCAGAUAUCGUAUAGAGAUUCGUGAUAGAAAUCGCUGCACACAAAAUAGUGGGGUGGCUGUUUUUUAGAAGAGAAUACAACUGAUGACAAUGCUGAAUAUUAUGGUGUAUUAAUAGAGAUAAUUGAGCUUCAAUUUCUUGGUGGAAGACGUGUGCCAUUAUUUCAUUGCAAGUGGGUUGACAUAUUCAAUAAAAAGAGAGGAAUAAAGAAGGAUACAUAUGGACUUGUUAGUGUCAAUUUUAAGUGCCUCCUUCGAAUAGAUGAGUCGUUUGUAUCAGCUAGCCAAGCUUCUCAAGUCUUUUUUGUUAAAGACAAUAUGAUCAAAGGAUGACACUUGGUUGUCAAAAUGCAGCCACGUGACACAUAUGAUGUAGCCGACGUUUCAGAUGAUGAAGACGUUGAAGAUGAGGAUGCCAAUGCAGAGGAAGACACAUGAUGAAUGUCCUUCAACCACAUCCUUGAGUGGAAAUAGGAAAUAUUGUUAUGAAUUUUGUUUCCAUAUCUUAGGAUAUGAAAUCUGUGACCAUUGCAUCAAUAUUUGUUUUUUAUAUUGACAGCUUAUGUAUGAACUAGUUUUUAUAGCCAUUUUUUUAUUGUCUCCUUGAGGUGCAGCCACGUGCCUCCUUAUAAUGCAGCUUAUGUAUGACCAUUGCAUCAAUAUUUUUGUAUCAACCACAUCCUUGCAUCAAUAGUUGUUUUUAUAUUUCUAUCUUGCCAUUAAUCUGUUUUCUUGCUUCUAUUCAUAGCUUACCAUUGUUCUUGUUUUCCUAUACUGAACUAGUUUAUAGUUUUGUUGCUUUCUAUAAAAAUUAGGGCAACAUCCUUUUAAUUUAAUUUUUUGUGCAUUUGUUAUCUAUGUAGGCUAUAGCAAUGCAAAGCAAGUAUGGAAAUGUGAGAUCCCCUCCAAGGUCACACUUCAUCAGCCCAGGAUUGCUUCGUCAACAACAUGCGAAAAGGUCCUAUCCAAACCCCAAUAUAGGCAUAGGAACAAACAAUGAGAGUUCGUCUAGAAAGCGAGCUAUGAAAGCUAUGGGCAAUGUUAACCAACCAAAAGUAGAAUAUGAUAAUUUAGAAGAUGAAUGUGUGAAUCUUGAAAGCAAAAAAUGGGGACUGAAGAUUAAUAUAUAGGGUCACUGGCGAGCCUAUGUAUGAUUCAGAUGAUGAAAGUGAACAUGAUUCUGAAUAUGAAAAUGAGUACUCUGAAAAUGAGUACUCUGAAGAUGAAAACAUAGUGAAUAACAUGACAGCAAGGGAGAAGAACUUAUAUUUCCAAAAAAAAGAUUCCUGAAUAAGGAGAGACAUCCAAAGAAGUCAAAAUCCAUGAACCAGGAUGCUCCAACAAGCAGAAGGGAUUAUUUUGAAGAUAGGAGGGACUGUGCCAGAGCAUCUAAUGCUGAAGACUUAAUGAAUGCUACAAAAAUGGUGUGCUUAAUUCACACACCAGAAGGGAUGAUUAUGAAGAAGGGAGGGACAGUGCCAGGGCACCCAAUUCUGAAAACUUUGAGGAGGGGAGGGACUGUACCAGGGCAUCCAAUGCCGAAAACAUUGUGAAUGCUACAAAAAAGCUGAUAGAACUGAAGAGAAGAGGGGCCGUGGCAAAAACAAAUGUAAAAAACUUGCUAAACUAAAGCUUGGAGAAAAAAAUUAAAGUAACGUUCUACAACAACCGUGCUCUUUGUACAACAUUCGCACGACACAUAUGUAGAAUCGUUCGUGAUCCUAGUAUUACCCUUGUGAGAGUAAAGAAGUGGACUGACAUUACUGAGACAUCUCUAAAACAUAUUUUUGCUGCAGUCAAGGACAAGUUUGAAAACAUGGAUGAAAACAUUGAAAUUGAUGUCUACAAAAAUGACAUCAUGGAGCAUGCUAGGGAUUUGUGGAACAAUUGGCGCGGUGACUUAAGUCGACACUAUGUCAAGCCGACAAAGAAUAUGCAGCAAGCCAUUAAGAAUUGUCUGAAUGAUUUUGCACAAGCUGAUUGGGAGUGGUUGGUCAAAGAGCAUUUUUGCAGUAAGGAAUUCAUUGCAAAGAGCAAGAGAAAUUCUAGAAACCGAUCCAAUUUGACAAUCCUUCAUCACAGUGGCAGCAAACCAUUCAGGAAAGUGAUUUAUGACAAUGGCGGCAAGGAUAAUAAUCCACUAGCUUUGGAUGCCUUAUUUUUUAUGACUCACACAAAGGGUGACAAUUUUAUUGAUUCUGAGUCCUCCAGCAAGCAUGCACAAAUUCAGGAACAAAUGUUAUCGGAUCCUUCUCUUUCCAAUGCACAACUUAUGGACAAGUGCUUCCCUUCAAAACGGUAGGACCAUAUCAUUGGAUAUGAUGGUGGAGUGAAAGCAAGACAUCUUCGAAGUCCAUCUGUUAGUAAGUCUAGAAGCUGAAACAGUCGGAGGAUGAGAAACGAGCAAUGCUUGAGGAGAACAGAGAGCUUUGAGAAGAAAAUCGGGCUACAAACAGCCGUGUAAGCCAAAUGGAAAAGGAGUGGGCAGAGUUGAAGAAACAAAUAAGUAGUAAUUAGCAUAGAAAUCUUGAUUUGAGUAGAGUUUGAGUGAUAUGAAUACUUACAACUUUUAUACCAUUGGAUAAAUACGUGAUACUGGAUUUAUUAUAUGUAAUAAUCAGAUUACCACCGACAUAUAUACAAGCUACAAAUGGUUCAUUGGUGCAUCUCAAUGUGAAAUUGAAUGGUCAUUGUUGUUUAA